rnacentral:rRNA from 1 species
GACGAGCGCUGGCGGCGUGCUUAACACAUGCAAGUCGAACGGAAAGGCCCUGCUUUUGUGGGGUGCUCGAGUGGCGAACGGGUGAGUAACACGUGAGUAACCUGCCCUUGACUUUGGGAUAACUUCAGGAAACUGGGGCUAAUACCGGAUAGGAGCUCCUGCUGCAUGGUGGGGGUUGGAAAGUUUCGGCGGUUGGGGAUGGACUCGCGGCUUAUCAGCUUGUUGGUGGGGUAGUGGCUUACCAAGGCUUUGACGGGUAGCCGGCCUGAGAGGGUGACCGGCCACAUUGGGACUGAGAUACGGCCCAGACUCCUACGGGAGGCAGCAGUGGGGAAUAUUGCACAAUGGGCGGAAGCCUGAUGCAGCAACGCCGCGUGCGGGAGGACGGCCUUCGGGUUGUAAACCGCUUUCGCCUGUGACGAAGCGUGAGUGACGGUAAUGGGUAAAGAAGCACCGGCUAACUACGU